rnacentral:lncRNA from 13 species
AGCAGAAUUGAGAAAAUCACAAAGAAAAAUAGCAGGAUGACGCAAUGAGACUCUGGACAAAACUAUCUGAAGCCAGCCCAUAACUUCCAGCAACAUGAUCCUAUGCAUUCAAGCUAAAUUGCUCUCUGUAAAGACAAAGGCAUUUGUGAAGGAUACCCAAGAGGCGUGUGAUUCUGGAGAGAGAAAAAAAAGCAAAGAAGGAACAAAGAGCAGCAGAAAUGGAAAUGACAAAAAUAACUUGGGCAUCAUCAAUGUGCUGAAAGGAGGGUCUGAAUUGAAGAAGAUAGCUGAAUAGAAAACAAAACAUAUCACUUGGGACAGAUAUUUGCACUGGGUAUGGAAGGAGGUCCAGG